rnacentral:siRNA from 1 species
CAUCAUCCUCAACAGAUCCGGA